rnacentral:rRNA from 1 species
AGAUCUGGAGGAAUACCGGUGGCGAAGGCGGCCCCCUGGACAAAGACUGACGCUCAGGUGCGAAAGCGUGGGGAGCAAACAGGAUUAGAUACCCUGGUAGUCCACGCCGUAAACGAUGUCUACUUGGAGGUUGUGCCCUUGAGGCGUGGCUUCCGGAGCUAACGCGUUAAGUAGACCGCCUGGGGAGUACGGCCGCAAGGUUAAAACUCAAAUGAAUUGACGGGGGCCCGCACAAGCGGUGGAGCAUGUGGUUUAAUUCGAUGCAACGCGAAGAACCUUACCUGGUCUUGACAUCCACAGAACUUUCCAGAGAUGGAUUGGUGCCUUCGGGAACUGUGAGACAGGUGCUGCAUGGCUGUCGUCAGCUCGUGUUGUGAAAUGUUGGGUUAAGUCCCGCAACGAGCGCAACCC